GGGGAAUUUUGGACAAUGGGGGAAACCCUGAUCCAGCCAUCCCGCGUGUGCGAUGAAGGCCUUCGGGUUGUAAAGCACUUUUGGCAGGAAAGAAACGUCGCGGGUUAAUACCCUGCGAAACUGACGGUACCUGCAGAAUAAGCACCGGCUAACUACGUGCCAGCAGCCGCGGUAAUACGUAGGGUGCAAGCGUUAAUCGGAAUUACUGGGCGUAAAGCGUGCGCAGGCGGUUCGGAAAGACAGAGGUGAAAUCCCCGGGCUCAACCUGGGAACUGCCUUUGUGACUGCAAAGCUGGAGUGCGGCAGAGGGGGAUGGAAUUCCGCGUGUAGCAGUGAAAUGCGUAGAUAUGCGGAGGAACACCGAUGGCGAAGGCAAUCCCCUGGGCCUGCACUGACGCUCAUGCACGAAAGCGUGGGGAGCAAACA
rnacentral:rRNA from 1 species